GACGAACGCUGGCGGCGUGCUUAACACAUGCAAGUCGAACGGAAAGGCCCUGCUUUUGUGGGGUGCUCGAGUGGCGAACGGGUGAGUAACACGUGAGUAACCUGCCCUUGACUUUGGGAUAACUUCAGGAAACUGGGGCUAAUACCGGAUAGGAGCUCCUGCUGCAUGGUGGGGGUUGGAAAGUUUCGGCGGUUGGGGAUGUACUCGCGGCUUAUCAGCUUGUUGGUGGGGUAGUGGCUUACCAAGGCUUUGACGGGUAGCCGGCCUGAGAGGGUGACCGGCCACAUUGGGACUGAGAUACGGCCCAGACUCCUACGGGAGGCAGCAGUGGGGAAUAUUGCACAAUGGGAGGAAGCCUGAUGCAGCAACGCCGCGUGCGGGAUGACGGCCUUCGGGUUGUAAACCGCUUUCGCCUGUGACGAAGCGUGAGUGACGGUAAUGGGUAAAGAAGCACCGGCUAACUACGUG
rnacentral:rRNA from 1 species